AUGUAGCUCAGUGGUAGAGCACUUGUCUAGCAUGUAUGAAGCCCUGGGUUCAAUCUCCAGCAU
rnacentral:tRNA from 1 species